GAUCCUGGCUCAGGACGAACGCUGGCGGCGUGCUUAACACAUGCAAGUCGAACGAAGAGCGAUGGAAGCUUGCUUCUAUCAAUCUUAGUGGCGAACGGGUGAGUAACGCGUAAUCAACCUGCCCCUUCAGAGGGGGACAACAGUUGGAAACGACUGCUAAUACCGCAUACGAUCCAAUCUCGGCAUCGAGGAUGGAUGAAAAGGUGGCCUCUAAUUUAUAAGGCUAU
rnacentral:rRNA from 1 species